rnacentral:rRNA from 1 species
UACGUAGGGACCAAGCGUUGUCCGGAAUCAUUGGGCGUAAAGCGCGCGUAGGUGGCUUCGUAAGUCCGUUGUGAAAGUCAAAGGCUCAACCUUUGAAAGCCGAUGGAUACUGCGAAGCUAGAGUACGGAAGAGGCGAGUGGAAUUCCUGGUGUAGCGGUGGAAUGCGCAGAUAUCAGGAGGAACACCAAUAGCGAAGGCAGCUCGCUGGGACGUUACUGACACUGAGGCGCGAAAGCGUGGGGAGCGAACAGG